rfam:Picea glauca, whole genome shotgun sequence.
AUUUACAUUCCUACAACAUAGUGUUAAUGUAUCAGAUCCCAUUAGAACUCCGCAGUUAAGCACGCUCGGGCUAUAGUAGUACUGGGAUGGGUGAUCACCAGGGAAGUGCUAGUAUUUUACAUG